GACGAACGCUGGCGGCGUGCCUAAUACAUGCAAGUAGAACGCAGUUGCGAACGGGUGAGUAACGCGUAGGUAACUGCCUGGUAGCGGGGGGUAACUAUUGGAAACGAAAGCUAAUACCGCAUACUACCUGAGGGACCUGUGUUGUAGUGGCUCGUGGGUGGGGUAACGGCUCACCAAGGCAACGAUACCUAGCCGACCUGAGAGGGUGAGCGGCCACAUUGGGACUGAGACACGGCCCAGACUCCUACGGGAGGCAGCAGUAGGGAAUCUUCGGCAAUGGACGGAAGUCUGACCGAGCAACGCCGCGUGAGUGAAGAAGGUUUUCGGAUCGUAAAGCUCUGUUGUUAGAGAAGCGGUAUCUUACCAGAAAGGGACGGCUAACUACGUGCCAGCCGCCGCGGUAAUUC
rnacentral:rRNA from 1 species